GACUGCCAACCAGGAAACUUUGGAAUUUGUGACACUGGAAAGAGUGAGAGACCACACGUGGGGUUGGAGAGAUGAAAGAAUCAGCUUGCUCCUUAAUCACUCCAGUGACAAGAAACAUGUUUCAUCCUGCCCUUCAAAUGCUUUGCUCUACCAGACACCAUCUGCAUGAAUAUGAUAUUCCCAAAGAAAUCUACUUACUGAGUGGGGUUUGUUGUGCUGCAAAGAAAUGUUGUGGUACAUUGCACCUGUUAUAUAUCUACCCUAACAAGGGAUGAGGAGAGAAGGAACAUUCAUGACUUUGCAAUAAUGAGAUUGCUGAUCCACAACCUGCUGGCAAUUUCUGUACAGAGGAAAUAAAGUCAAAUAGAACUGCCAAGGACCUCAUCUCCAUGCUGAUAACUGCACAACGCCUCAGACACAUCCAUCCUCAGGUUACUCUUUCUGUUAUUAAAACUUGUAUUUUUAUG